ACGCUGGCGGCAGGCCUAACACAUGCAAGUCGAGCGGUAGAGAGAAGCUUGCUUCUCUUGAGAGCGGCGGACGGGUGAGUAAUGCCUAGGAAUCUGCCUGGUAGUGGGGGAUAACGUUCGGAAACGGACGCUAAUACCGCAUACGUCCUACGGGAGAAAGCAGGGGACCUUCGGGCCUUGCGCUAUCAGAUGAGCCUAGGUCGGAUUAGCUAGUUGGUGGGGUAAUGGCUCACCAAGGCGACGAUCCGUAACUGGUCUGAGAGGAUGAUCAGUCACACUGGAACUGAGACACGGUCCAGACUCCUACGGGAGGCAGCAGUGGGGAAUAUUGGACAAUGGGCGAAAGCCUGAUCCAGCCAUGCCGCGUGUGUGAAGAAGGUCUUCGGAUUGUAAAGCACUUUAAGUUGGGAGGAAGGGCAGUAAAUUAAUACUUUGCUGUUUUGACGUUACCGACAGAAUAAGCACCGGCUAACUCUGUGCCAGCAGCCGCGGUAAUACAGAGGGUGCAAGCGUUAAUCGGAAUUACUGGGCGUAAAGCGCGCGUAGGUGGUUCGUUAAGUUGGAUGUGAAAUCCCCGGGCUCAACCUGGGAGCUGCACUCAAAACUGACGAGCUAGAGUAUGGUAGAGGGUGGUGGAAUUUCCUGUGUAGCGGUGAGAUGCGUAGAUAUAGGAAGGAACACCAGUGGCGAAGGCGACCACCUGGACUAAUACUGACACUGAGGUGCGAAAGCGUGGGGAGCAAAC
rnacentral:rRNA from 1 species